UCAGGAUUCUGUGAGCAGGCACACUGGCACUGUGCAGCCCAACUGCCCUGCCACUAGAGCCGAGGGCAACACCGUGACCCCGGCUCCGUGGCACAGACUGACGGAAGGACGGGAGGAUAGCGCUGAAAGACCACGGACCUCGGAUCUGACACCCCACAGAGGAUUCUAUGAGCAAGCGCACUGGCACUGGGCAGCCCAACUGCCCUGCCACUAGAGCAGAGGGCAGCUCCAUGACCCCAGCUCCGUGGCACAGACUGACGGAAGGACGGGAGGAUAGCGCUGAAAGACCACGGACCUCGGAUCUGACAGCCCACAGAGGAUUCUGUGCGCAGGCGCACUGGCACUGGGCAGCCCAACUGCCCUGCCACUAGAGCGGAGGACAACACCGUGACCCCAGCUCCGUGGCACAGACUGACGGAAGGAUGGGAGGAUAGCGCUGAAAGACCACGGACCUCGGAUCUGACAGCCCACAGAGGUAAGGAGGAGGUGUUCCAGGGAGCCAGGGAGCCUGGGCUACAGCUGCCUGCAUGCAUGCCUGCCAUCCUGCCUGCCUAUAUGCCUACCUCUGUUGAGGUAGGUUUCCCAGUUCCUCUCCUCUCUUCUCUCC